GCGCAGCAGUCGAGAAACCUUCGCAAUGCGCGAAAGCGUGACGAGGGGAGUCCGAGUGCCUGUAUCUUUAAGGUGCAGGCUUUCUUGAGUGUAAGAGCUCAAGGAAUAAGGGCUGGGCAAGACCGGUGCCAGCCGCCGCGGUAACCACCGGCGGCUCUACUGGUAGCCAUGUUUACUGGGCCUAAAGCGUCCGUAGCCGGGUCAGUAAAUCCCGAGUGAAAUCUGUCGGCUUAACCGGCAGGCGUGCUCGGGGACACUGCUGUCCUAGGGACCGGAAGAGGUAGGAGGUAGGCCUCGGGUAGGGGCAAAAUCCGUAUAAUCCGAGGAGGACC
rnacentral:rRNA from 1 species